GAGAGUUUGAUCCUGGCUCAGAAUCAACGCUGGCGGCGUGCCUCAGACAUGCAAGUCGAACGAUUAAGACUCCCUUCGGGGAGUGUAUAAAGUGGCGCACGGGUGAGUAACACGUAAGUAAUCUACCUUCGAGUGGGGAAUAACGUUCGGAAACGAACGCUAAUACCGCAUAAUGCAGCGGCAUCGCAAGAUGACAGUUGUUAAAGGAGCAAUCCGCUUGAAGAGGAGCUUGCGGCAGAUUAGCUAGUUGGUAAGGUAACGGCUUACCAAGGCUACGAUCUGUAUCCGGCCUGAGAGGGCGGUCGGACACACUGACACUGAAUAACGGGUCAGACUCCUACGGGAGGCAGCAGUCGGGAAUUUUGGGCAAUGGGCGAAAGCCUGACCCAGCAACGCCGCGUGAAGGAUGAAGUAUUUCGGUAUGUAAACUUCGAAAGAAUAGGAAGAAUAAAUGACGGUACUAUUUAUAAGCUCCGGCUAACUACGUGCCAGCAGCCGCGGUAAUACGUAGGGAGCAAGCGUUGUUCGGAUUUACUGGGCGUAAAGGGCGCGUAGGCGGCGUGUUAAGUCAGCUGUGAAAUCUCCAAGCUCAACUUGGAACGGCCAGCUGAUACUGAUGUGCUAGAGUGCAGAAGGGGCAAUCGGAAUUCUUGGUGUAGCGGUGAAAUGCGUAGAUAUCAAGAGGAACACCUGAGGUGAAGACGGGUUGCUGGGCUGACACUGACGCUGAGGCGCGAAAGCCAGGGGAGCAAACGGGAUUAGAUAUCCCGGUAGUCCUGGCCCUAAACGAUGAAUACUUGGUGUCUGGAGUUUCAAUACUCCGGGUGCCGUCGCUAACGUUUUAAGUAUUCCGCCUGGGGAGUACGCACGCAAGUGUGAAACUCAAAGGAAUUGACGGGGACCCGCACAAGCGGUGGAGCAUGUGGUUUAAUUCGACGCAACGCGAAGAACCUUACCUGGGCUAGAAUGCCUCUGACAACUCCAGAGAUGGAGCCUCCUAGGGAAACCUAGGCAGAGUGCAAGGUGCUGCAUGGCUGUCGUCAGCUCGUGUCGUGAGAUGUUGGGUUAAGUCCCGCAACGAGCGCAACCCUUAUCAAUAGUUGCCAGCGGUUCGGCCGGGCACUCUAUUGAGACUGCCGUUGACAAAACGGAGGAAGGUGGGGAUGACGUCAAGUCCUCAUGGCCUUUAUGUCCAGGGCUACACACGUGCUACAAUGGCGGUGACAGUGGGCAGCAAACUCGCGAGAGUGAGCAAAUCCCAAAAAGCCGUCUCAGUUCGGAUUGUUCUCUGCAACUCGAGAGCAUGAAGGCGGAAUCGCUAGUAAUCGCGGAUCAGCAUGCCGCGGUGAAUACGUUCCCAGGCCUUGUACACACCGCCCGUCACACCAUGGGAGUUGGUUUCACCCGAAGGCAGUGCGCUAACCGCAAGGAGGCAGCUGACCACGGUGGGAUCAGCGACUGGGGUGAAGUCGUAACAAGGUAGCCGUAG
rnacentral:rRNA from 1 species